rnacentral:lncRNA from 1 species
CUUUGAUUUUUUUUUUAAAUUCAUGCUCGUCUCUAGAUCUGCAAGUGUUGAUCGGGAUUAAACACGUGUUACCAUAUGAUCCAAUCGCAGCUUACCGCCCAAAAUUGAUGACAAGUUGAAUGAUUUUCUUCUAGAUUUGCUGCUUAUUUGGACGUGUAUUACAUGAACACUUUUUGUUUAUAGGAUCAAUCGUGCAUUGGUGAGUUGAUAGGUAUUUUAUCUUUUGAUAUUAGAUUUGAUUUUUAUUUAUUUAUUUCCUGUCUUAUUUUUUUUAUUGAAAUGUUCACG